AUGUUUGGAAAGCUACAGAGCAGUAGCCAUAGAAAGACUGCGUGAGACAGAGUCCUAGCCUAUCUGUCCGGCCAGUCGAACCUCAUGUGUUCGCUGCUUUCAUUUUCCCUUGGCUGAGGAAACGAUGGUUUGGUUUUGCAAAGGAAUGCUGGGGACUUCUGCCAGCUUGCUAACGGCCUUGCCCCAUUCAGAUGCAUCGAACUCACAGAACAUCGCUCCCCAGCUGCUGGCUCGCGGUUCUGAGAGUGCCUGAAUAGAAAACCACUCAUUUCCCUUCGCAAAAGAGGCGCCCAAAGCAGAUAUUUCAAUAUAUUCCAAUUUAGCCGAGGGAAGCCAGAACAUGGAUGUUGUUGCCAAGGAAACCACCUCCUUCCUCCUGUGUGCUGUGCAUACGUGUAUCACUUCAUCUCUCUGCUCUCCAAGCUUGAAUCUAGAUCUGACGUGGAUAUCCUGCCACAGUUCCGAAGUCUACCUAGUGCCCCAGCCGAACCUGCCCUGGCUCCUAGAGAAAUAGGGAACAAUAAAAACAACCUGAGGUGUGGCAAAGGCUCUAGGACUGCAUCAUCUGCUGAAGCUCCAGUCCCUGCGCUGCAUCUCCUGAGUGGCAUCUGUGAUGGCAAACAAAGGCUCCUUGGGCUUCACGCUCUGCUUUCUUUCUAAGUGGUACUUACCACCCGCUGCAUCCCAGCCUUCUUCUGACCAGCUUCCUCUUCUGAUAGGCUUAUUUCCAUGAAGUUUUUCAGAGUUAGAAGCAUGAACUUUAGAACCAGAUGAUCCCGGUUGGAAUCCAUCUCUGGCACUUGCUAUAUGACCUUGGAUAAGUUACUUAACCUUUCUGUGUCUCAGUUUCUUUUUCUAUAAAAUGGGCAUAAUAAAAUCUAUCUAGCAUAGUUAUUGUAAGGAUUAAGUAAGUUAUUAUAUGCAGAGCUCUUGGUUCACAGUUAGUGCCAUUUAAGCCUUUCUGUCAUUCUUACUGUUACCAUUUUCCUGGCAUGUCAGUCUGAUGAUGCAGACGAGGCAGGAACUUUCGUCUCUGCCUCUCGUGGACUGCCCAAUCAGCUCCACGGAACUCAGCCAUGCCUGCAGUGCUGCAGGCCUCGCUUUGGACUGCUGGAGGCUGAGAAGUCAAUGGAUGUUGCUUGGGCAUUUUGGGGGGUUUCCUUAUGCAGGAGGAAGAUGACAAUCAUUGUGGAAGCAGAAGGUUGUCAUGGAAAUGCACCUGUUCCAAGUCAUUGCACCCUGGGCUCUGGGCUGGCUCUGCACGGGCCUGCCAUGCACUGACUUCAGCUUCAUCUGAGUCAGUGGAAGGCUGGACAAAGGUAGACAUCUUUCCUCACUGCCAGCCUGCCAUUGCGGCUUUCUGUCUCUGGUGUGAACAGGCAAUCGAGCUUUCCUGGUCUCCUGAGCUACUGUGAACGUGGCAGAAGAUAGUGGACUCUGAAUAACAUUGGAAACAACUACUUCCUGGACGGCCACUGUGUGCAUGGCCUGCGGGAGGGUGAGGGCAAGAGGACUGAUGGUUACUGGGAAUCUUCUUCAUGGCCAGGCUUCUGUGUGUCCUCUCACUUAAUCCUCCAACAGCACUGUGAGGAAAAUACAGCAUCCCACCUCACAGGCGAGGAAGCUUAAGUUGAAGGAAUGUUAAAUUGCCUGCUCUGAGCCUCACAGCCGGGAGGUGACAGCCCCAGGAUUGGCGGCCAGGGUUUGUCUGCCUUUAAAACUUAUGUCAUGUCCUUCUGUGUUAUCUCGGUCUGUACAGGCUGCUACAGCAAAAUACCAUAGCCUGGGUAGUUUAUGAACAACAGAAAUUUAUUUCUCAUAGUUCUGGAGCCUGGAAGUCCAAGAUCAAGGCUCUCGCAGGUUCAGUGUUCGGUGAGGACCCACUUCCUUAUUCAUAGACGUCCCCUUCUCACUGUGGCCUCACAGCAAGGGGUCAGGGUUCUCUCUGGGGCCUCUUUAAAUAGGGUCACCAAUCCCAUUCAUGAGGGCUGUACCCCCAUGACCUAAUCCCCUCCCAAAGGCCCCACUUCCCCAUACCAUCACCUUGGGGGUUAGGAUUCUAACAUGAAUUUUGGGGGGACACAGGCAUUCUGAUCAUAGCAUAUGUGUAGUUGCUCCUGGCCCGCUGGGGAAAUCACCGUCUCCAAGCAUGGCUCCCAUCUGGUUACCCUGGGUGGCCAAGGUCAGCAGAGGUGCUUUGCCAACUGAUUGGCACCCACACUACUUCUGUCCAGGUGGGCUGGGGCGAGGGUUGGGUCACAGUGGGACUCUGUGGGGCUCCGGGGACUGUCAGCUGCCCCGGGGCUGGAGGUCCUGCUGCUCUGUGCCCAUAGGCACCUCCUGGGAAUCUGGCGACUUGCAUCAGGGCCCGGAACUCACCCUGACAGUUCUUUCAGCUCUUGUCUUUUCCUCCCCUACCUACCUGCUCAUCUCGCUUUCACACACAAAGCCUCCCCUGCACUCCCCGCUCCCCUCCUCAAUCCCUUUCCCGGCUUUUGUACUUUAUGAUGCCGUGACUUGGGUGAGGAAACUCAUUAAAGUCAUUAUUCCGUGCACAGAAAUGUGUCUUUCAUCCCAUUCAUAUUUAAUGUUCCUCCCACUUGAU
rnacentral:lncRNA from 1 species